GAGGAAACUGUGUGACACAUAACACAGGGCUUAGGACUUGUCACACCCUGUGCAUGUCUGUCCUGCCAGGCUCUGUGGUCAUUAUAAUUCGUCUGGAGUGCUGGAAACCAUGCAAGGCAGUGCCACAGCCCUGACCCUCACCGCCUUUCUAUGUCUUGGACUGUGCCAGGGCCAGCGGAACCAGGUACAGACAGGGCAGUUCCAGUGUGCAUAUCACAGCUCGAGUGGCUGGUCAGAGUGCAGUGAUCCCCUGCUCCUUGUCGUGACAGGAGCCUACAGCAAACCCUCCCUCUCAGCCCAUCCAAGCCAUCUGGUGGUUUCAGGAGGGGAUGUGUCCCUCUCCUGUAGCUCAAGGGACAGAAUGGACACUUUCCAUCUGCUCGAGAACAGAGAAGCCUACCCCUCCCAGCAGAGGAAAUCUGAGUUCUCUGCUGGGAGGCACCAGGCCACCUUUCCUGUGGGCCCUGUGAGCACCUCCCAUGGAUGCAUCUACAGAUGCUGUGGUUCUUCUUGACACUCCCCUCACGUUUGGUCACACCCCAGUGACCCUGUGGAUCUCAACGUCACAGGGGUGCACAGAAAGCCCUCCCUCUCUGCCCAGCCAGGCUCACUGGUGCUCUCUGGAGCAGCCUGACCCUGCAGUGUGGCCCUGAGGCCUGCUGUGACACAUUCCCUCUGACCAAGGAUAAGUAGCUCUUACUCCCUUCCCCAGUGCCCUGACAGGCAGCACAGUCCCAUCUUCACCCUGUGCCAUGUGAACCACACCCACAAGGAACGGUACAGGUGCUAUGGUACAUGCAAACUCUUCCCUGGGUGGUUGGCCCCCAGUGAUCCCUGUAAGCCCUAAUGGCAGGUAUGGAUCCUUGCCCAGCACGAUGUCCAGACGGUCUUCUGAGGUCUCCACUGGUGGAGGUGGUGUCAAGGGAGACAGGGCCCCGGAGUAAAGCUGAGAUGGUGGCUUU